rnacentral:rRNA from 1 species
GUAGGGGGCAAGCGUUGUCCGGAUUUAUUGGGCGUAAAGAGCGUGUAGGCGGCCACACAGGUCCGCUGUGAAAACUCGAGGCUCAACCUCGAGCUGUCGGUGGAAACCGUGUGGCUAGAGUCCGGAAGAGGAGAGUGGAAUUCCCGGUGUAGCGGUGAAAUGCGCAGAUAUCGGGAAGAACACCCGUGGCGAAGGCGGCUCUCUGGGACGGUACUGACGCUGAGACGCGAAAGCGUGGGGAGCGAACAGGAUUAGAUACCCUGGUAGUCCACGCCGUAAACGAUGGGUGCUAGGUGUGGGAGGUGUCGACUCCUUCCGUGCCGAAGCUAACGCAUUAAGCACCCCGCCUGGGGAGUACGGCCGCAAGGCUA